rnacentral:rRNA from 1 species
GAUGAACGCUAGCUACAGGCUUAACACAUGCAAGUCGAGGGGAAACGACAUCGAAAGCUUGCUUUUGAUGGGCGUCGACCGGCGCACGGGCGAGUAACGCGUAUCCAACCUGCCCAUCACUUGGGAAUAACCUUGCGAAAGUAAGACUAAUACCCAAUGAUAUCCUACGAAGGCAUCGGAAUGGGAUUAAAGAUUUAUCGGUGAUGGAUGGGGAUGCGUCUGAUUAGCUUGUUGGCGGGGUAACGGCCCACCAAGGCAACAAUCAGUAGGGGUUCGGAGAGGAAGGUCCCCCACAUUGGAACUGAGACACGGACCAAACUCCUACGGGAGGCAGCAGUGAGGAAUAUUGGACAAUGGGCGAGAGCCUGAACCAGCCAAGUAGCGUGCAGGAAGACGGCCCUAUGGGUUGUAAACUGCUUUUAUAAGGGAAUAAAGUGGGUCGCGUGUGACUUUUUGCAUGUACCUUACGAAUAAGGACCGGCUAAUUCCGUG